GUAUAUAUGUGUCAAGAGUUCUUAUCAGUUCUAUUAUGUGAUCAUCUGUCCACAGAGAAAGAGAACACUGGAUUGGCACCAUCUUUCACUGCUUUUAAAACACCUAUGGCUGGAUGCCUAGCUAAUGACUCCUUCAGAGACCCUUGUAAUGAACUCCUGGAGUUCUAUUCUGGGGGAGGGGGACCUGGCAGACAUGUGAUCAGCUCACACUAGAGCAAGCAUGCUGCUUUGAGUGGUAUCAAGAUUCCAUGACAGUUUCAGCAGAGAGAAACUGGGAUGCAGGAAGCGCCUCCAGAUCUGCAUGAGAGUGUCUUCAGGAUGAGAAGGGAAAAAUACACCAAGCAACAGUUUUUCUUUUCCAAAUAUAACCUGUUUUACUGUUCAAGCAGAGGCUAAAAACAAUGAAAACUUUACUUUCAAUAGAAAAUUCUGGCACUGAAAAGCCUGAAGCAAUGUCGACUUUGUGGUUCUGCUUUUGAACAGAAGGCAAGGUGGAUGUGGAAGCUAACUACUGAGGGCUAGACCUUUCCUUCUGCUGUCCUGGUGGACAAGGUGAAAAGAGAGAAUAGCCAGAUUCUAUCCCCUUGUGUGAACAGUGGAUCAGGAUCUCUCCCUAGAGUUCCAAGAAAUACUGGGAGAAUGCUCCAGCAAUCAAGUUGGUCCCACAUAAUGAUCCAAAGGGGGCACUGUCUUUAGCAAGGGGGGGAUGUCAGCUUUUUCUGAUGGCUGGUUCAUAUGCUGCAGUUGGGAGUACAUGCUGCUCCUGUGCAGUGAAGUGGGCUCCAAAGGAUAUCCCCAUGCAUGCCCCUUGUAAUUAGUCCUUAGAUCUCAGGCUUCCUAGAGCAGAGGACACCUUUGCCAGCAUCCAUCCUCUUCUUUGGAAAGCCAGCAGAAAAUGUAACCAGAGACAAUAUAAACAGCUAUGUGAUGUUAUAUGAUUAAAAUCUGACCAUAUAGAUCAUUGUUACUACCACUGUUAUAUAAUUGCAAUAAAUAUUGUACAAAGUAUGUCAUGUAAGGUGCCAACGAAAAAGUUAUGAUUUGCUGAAUAUGAUUAUCCAAUUUGUAUGUAUAUCAUUUUUGUAUCUGAAGUUAUGAAUAUUGACUAUGUACCUGUAUUUCAAAUGUGUUUGCUCUUGUGGUAACACCCACAGGGUAAUUUGCAUCCAGUCUGAUCAACACAUUGUGAAUAGAGUAUUCAAGUUGAUGACCCAUUAAUGAACAUAGUGGACCAUGUAAGAAGCCGAUCCACACCUGAUGGACUUCCAUGUGAAUGUUCUAACUAGAGUAUGGGUAAUUGUCUCUGCUAUGACUCAUCAAAACAUGCAAGGGUAUGUGACUUGCUCGUGUGACUCCAAACUCCAUCUUGUGCCUGUAAUUUUCCACAAACUGAGACCAUGGGUUUCCCUAGCAGAAGCUGUAAAAGGCACAUUGAAACAACUCAAUUUUGCCUCUUUCCUGCUCUGAUCUCUGGACUAUGGACUUAUACUAAUGGGAGCAUUCUAACCAAAGGACUGAGGAUCUUCCAAUCUUUUGGAAGCAACCAGAGACUUAACAAGCCAGCAGUUUAUGCCAUCACUGCUUCAAACCUGAUACAAGAACUUUGCAAUUAUUGUAUCUAUUUGAUUCGUUAACCAAUUGUAA